GACUCGUUGGUGCAGUAGUUAGCGCUCCUGAAUGUUGCGCAGAGGUCCGUGGGUUCGAUUCCCACAUCGGGCA
rnacentral:tRNA from 1 species